AGUCUUACUGUUUUCCAUCAAGGUGUCACCAAUCUUCCAGUCUCCCAGGCAGAAGUUUUUGAGAGACAAAUGGAUGGAAAAACUUUUUGGCCCUCUUCCUUAGGAUCAGAAGGUAACUACAGAUAAAAACUGCAGUUCCACUUGGCUUUUGUAACAAGUUGGCAUCUAGGUUUUCAUCUAAUUGAGCUUCAACCAGCACUACUACUUGAGGACCUAUGCAGUGUUUGUCCAUGAGCAUGGAAUGACUCAUACUGGCCUCAGAGUUAGGGACUCACUUUAAAGGAAAGGGGAUGCAGUAGUGGGCACAUGACUAAGAAAUCCACCGAUCCUCUCAUAUACUGCACCACCAGAAGCUGCUGGAUUAGCAGAGCAAAGGCAAAGAUUGACCAGACCAAGCCCUGAGACACAGUGUUGAGAGCCAAGACAUAAAGUUGUGAAGAUUCAGACCCAGAGCCCAGCAGGGCACAGGCUGGAGGGGUGAUGUGAGUGAUCAGUAACACCAUGAAGACUCUGCUCCUGGGUCAGGAAUGCUUUUUUGUCCCUGUUUUUGGAUUUUCCACCAUGAUCAGCCAAUGCAGAAAGAAAUCUAAAGGUGAAGGAAAGGCAGCGUUCAGCACUGAGCAAGUCCAUGUUGGAGAAAGUUCACAGGGAAUUGGAAAUCCUUGUCUUCGUGGUUCCUGGCUCAGCAGGACCCCUGUGGGGCCUCUCCCUCUCUUGGGAAAGAGAUUGCUCUAGAAGGUUUACUACACCAGUGAGGAGAAGAUGAGCGCAAGGGGGAUUGGCCGGCUGAGGGCGAAAUCAAGACUGGAGCCAAGUGCGCUGAGCUCUCACAUGAGGUCCUUUGCUCCUGUUCCCUGGAGGCAUAAGUGGCUGGGGUAGAGAGAAGCAGGGGUAUUUCUUCUGUCCUUUCUUGCUUAGGGAUUGGGGGUGGAAAUCUCCCCGCAUCUAAGGAAAUUUGAAAAGACAAACUAUGGCUGCUUCUUCAAGCAAACCACCUCACCACACUAUCCAGGGGAUAAAACCCGCUUGCUGCUGCUAAAUUAUGCCAAGAGAGAACAUUCUGAUAUUUCUCCUCAAUUCUAGGCAUGACAGCGUGACUUGGUGCUUAAAGGCAUGGAGUUUUGAGUUGCAGACCUAGGUUUGAGUGCUGAAUCUACUAGCUUCAGGGUGUUAAAAAAGUUUCUUAAUCUCUCUAAACCUUAUUUUUCUCAAAGAUAAAAAACUGGGUGUAGUUGUGAGUAUAGUGAAUGCACAUAGUAUGUGCCUUUGGCAUGUUAAUUCACUAUUAUUCUGGACAUAAUUUCUCCUAAGAAAAAGGAUGAACUAAUUGCAGGGCCUAGCCUAAGCUCUGAGAAGUCAUUCGUUAUAGCAUUUCAGUCCAUAGUAAACAAGAAGAAAUGAGGUAAAGAGUUUAAACCAGGGAAGGCAUAGCUGUGGUCACCAAACAACCUGUUAAAGGCGAGCUGUAGGCACCAAAAAACCUAUUAUGGACUGAAUUGUGUUCCUCAAAUUCAUAUGUUGAAGUGCUAACCCCAAGUACCAAAUGUGACUGUAUUUGGGGAUAGGGUCCCUGAAGAAGUCACUCAGCUGGAAGGAGUCAUAUUGGAUUAGGUGUUGGGAAUUGGCUGGCCAAGGGAGAAAUCAAGGCUGGAACCAAGUGCUGAACUCUCACAUCAGGUCCUUUGCUCCUGUUCCCUGGACCCUAAUCCAAUAUGACUGGCAUCUUUAUAUGAAGAGGAAGAGGCACCAGAGGGUACACACGCAGAGAAAAGGCCAUGUGUGGACACAGUAAGAUGACGGACAUCUGUAAGCCAAGGAGGGAAACCUCAGAAGAAACCAGCCUUGCCUGCACCUUGAUCUUGGAGGUCCAGUCUCCAGAACUGUGAAAAAAAUGAACUGGUGUUGUUUAAAUCCCCCAGUCGUGGUAUUUUGUCAUGGUGGCCCUAGAAGACAAUAUACAACCCAAAGGAAUAUUCUUUCCACUUUCUCCCUCUUCCACUUUAUAGUUUUUUCUCCUUCGUUUCUUUCUUUUUCUCUUUUACUUUCCUUUUCUUCUCUUCUCUUUCCUCUGGUUUUUAAUUUUAAUUUUAAUUUUUGGCCUUCCUAUACCUCCAUUUGCCUCUCCAGGAAGCUGAAUUCCAGACAAUUAAUCAUUCAUCUCAUCAGUUCAGCAAAGCAAAUGCCCUCAAUGGUUUCUUUUGUGAUUCGAUUAUUAUGGGAUCAGAAUGUAUCUUAUUCCUCUGGGAAAAAUGAAACAUAAAAAUUUCAGAAAUAAGGUUUUGGGCCAGCUUCAUUGGUUUUAAGAGAAGGAAGGGAGGAGACUCAUGCAGGUUUGACGCUGAGCAGCACCAUGUGGUUGGGCCUGGCAGGCACUCGAGGCUUUAGGUCUUGGUUUGAAUCCAGACUAGAAAAUCAUUACUUAUUAAAAGCCUUGAGGAUAUGGGUCUAGGAAAGUCUAUGUGAAGAGAUAAUAGUUUGGAAAAAGUUUUGCAGAACUAAAGAAAAGUUUCCACAGUUACCUUUUCUGUCCUAAUGUAGAGCAUCUUUGUUAACUAGGUCUUGGAUCAAUCCAAGCUGUGUCUGAGAAUAACCAUUUAUAAUUUCUCACUGGCCAGCACUAACACCCUUUAGAAAAGGAACUCAAAGCAGCCCUAGCAGCCAGAGUCAUGCGAUCAUGGUGGGAGUACAGCUCCUCACCAAGGUCAGCUCCUCAGUGAAAUCCAUGCCUUCUGGAGGACUGCUUGUAAAUAAAUAUUAAGCACAACCAUUAAAAAAUAAUUUGGCUGUGACCAUCAAAUAGUGAAAGAGUGUAUCAAUUUCAUUAUUAUAUAAGCAUACAUGACCAAAUUCAGCUAGAGUGGAGUCUUGGCUCAAGUACCAAGCUUGGAUUUCCCCAAGGAACACUUUCCCAUAAUUCAUAAUGAAAAUCUUUCCAUUUACUGUGGUUCAACUAUUUGCAGAAUUUUCAGGCUGGGCUCAGUGGCCCUAAAUUUAUGCAUGCUGGUAUACUGAGAAGAUCACCAUGUUACAGAGGCUCUUCUCUCCCAGUUUACUCCUGGAGUCUAUUUAAUUUGCAGCUCUAACUCUGCGUUCCCAGGAUUGCAUCAGUUGGACUUUCCUCACAUCUCAGCAGCCGCAGUUGGGUUGAAAUGAGAUACUCCCAUCUCUGGUCACUGUGCUCUGGCCCUCCAGGACAUUCCUCUCACCCGCUGCCCACAGCAUAGCUGCUGAGAGUCCUCUGCCCAGGAGUCCCAAGUGAGAGGACAGUCUUGACUCUGCCUGCCCCCCUUUAGUGACAUCCUUCAGGGAUUCCUCAGUUCAUUCAUUUCCUAGGGCUGCUGAAACAAGUUACCCCAAACUGCGCAGCUUAAAACAAUACAAAUAUUAUGCUUUCAAAGUCUGAGAGUCAAGAAGUUGAAACUCAUGGUGUUGCCAGGACCAUGCUCCCUCUGAAGGAAGGAGAAGAGUCCUUCCUUGCCUCUUCCUAGAUUCUGGUGGCUCCUGGCAUUGUGGCUGUAUCUCUCCAGUCCCUGCCUCUGUCAUCACACGGCCAUCUUUCUUCUUUUUUUUGAGAUGGAGUCUUGCUCUGUGGCCCAGGCUGGAGUGCAGUGGCGCGAUCUCAGCUCACUGCAACUUUCGCCUCCCGGGCUCAAGCGAUUCUCCUGCCUCAGCCUCCUGAGUAGCUGGGAUUACAGGCGCGCGCCACCAGGACCUGCUAAAUUUUUGUAUUUUUAGUAGAGACGGGGUUUCACCAUGUUGGUCAGGCUGGUCUCGAACACCUGACCUCGUGAUCCAUCUGCCUCAGCCUCCCAAAGUGCUGGGAUUACAGGCGUGAGCCACUGCGCCCAGCCGUCUCUUUCUUCUUAUAAGAACACCAGUCAUUGGGUUUAGGGUCCAUCCUAAUCCAGUAUGACCUCAUCCUAACCUAACUAAUUAUAUCUACAAAGACCCUAUUUUCAAAUAAGGUAGCAAUCUGAGGGUUCCAGGUGGACAUGAAUUGAGUGAGGAGGGGAGGGGCACUUUUUAACCCAGUAUACUCAGGGACCUUGCUGACCCUGCCUCUCUGCUCACACACACCAUACAGGGUCACCUGGUGGUGACUGCUAAAAGUAACAAGCUACCAUUUGUCUUGGAUUCCAAACCAAUUCAGAAGAACCCUGGGAGCCGCAUGACUAUGAAGAACUAUUUCUCACCAUGGAAAUUACAGCAGAACAUUCACUGGGAUCGUUGUUUGUUAUGAAACAGGUACUAGACUUAACUGGCUUUGAAGGGUAGAACAUAUUUUAGAAUAUCUGUUAUAUGGUUCAUUAGACUUUGUUUUUAUUUUUAUUUAUUUAUUUAUUGAGACAGAGUCUCACUUUGUCACCCAGGCUGGAGUGCAGUGGUGUAAUCUCGGCUCACUGCACCCUCUCCUCACAGGUUCAAGCAAUUCUCUUGUCUCAGCCUCCCAAGUAGCUGGGACUACAGGUGCCUGCCACACCUGGCUAAUUUUUGUAUUUUUAGUAGAGACAGUGUUUGGCCAUGUUAGCCAGCCUGGUCUUGAACUCCUGACCUCAGGUGAUCCACCUACCUAGCUAGGCCUCCCGAAGUGCUGGGAUUACAGGUGUGAGCCACCAUGCCUGGCCUCAUUAGGCUUUAAAGCAAUAAUUAAAAAAAUAAAUACCCUGAAGAUGUUGAAAAUAAGGCAUAAAGUUGGUGUGGCAGUCAAAGAAGAACACAUCAGCUUAAAAAAUGAUAGAAAUAGCUCUUUGAAAAUUGCCCUUACAGGCCGGGUGUGGUGGCUCACACCUGUAAUCCCAGCACUUUGGAAGGCUGAGGCAGGCGGAUCACCUGAGGUCAGGAGUUUGAGACCAUCCUGGCCAACAUGGUGAAACCCCGUCUCUACUAAAAAUAUAAAAAUUAGCCAGGCACAGUGGCGGGCACCUGUAAUCCCAACUACUGGGGAGGCUGAGGCAGGAGAAUCGCUUGAACCCAGGAGGCAGAGGUCGCAGUGAGACUCCGUCUCAAAAAAAUAAAAAAAUAAAAAUUAAAAAAAAUUAAAAAAUAAAAAUUGCCUUUACAGAAAAAGAUACUGAAUUGUACAUUGUGCUUACCAAAAUCCAGCUCUAAGAGUCCAUCGUGUACCUGAUAUUUUUUCCAAGUUGAAAAUGAAUCAGGGGGUUGAAGUCACUUGAAAGAAAAAAUUUUUUGAAAAAAACUCUGUUACGUCUAAAUUGUAGCAACUCCUCCUACCCUCAUAUACAAUGCCAGCUGAGCUUCUGACAAGCUGCUCAAUAUAUAUCUAAAGUCAGAAUCGAGAUUUUGUACUAUGAUAUAUGGCUGAGUUAUAGUGAAGAGAGAGCAGGGAGACUUUGCUCAUUAUCCUGCAUUAGUCAGACUAGAUUUACAGCUCAAAAGAACAGUCACGGUAACUGAAGUGCAGACCAGGAACUUGAACUGAUGAAAAUCACUUCUAUUUAAAUGAACACUAAGAAGCUUGCUGCAUAUAGUUGUUAUAAUAGCCUUAAGAAGAUCACUUUGCCAAAUGUUUCCAUCCAAAAAGAAAUAAGCCAGACUAGAAACAAUCUGGAAAACUCUACUUUUUCUGUAUUUCCUUUUCCCAUGAGGAUGGGAGAGCUCAGGAUGUGGAGAGGAGCUGACAGAACUCAUCUGUGUCUGAAUCUAGAGAAUUGCAAAGAGGUGGAAGAGGCAGGUAUUGCUAACAAGGCAGAGGGCAUGAAAAAUUUCAAGGCAAUUUUUAAAUUGUAUGGGCGCUUGGAUUAUUUGAGCAUGCCUAGCAGGUUAUGUUAAUGCCUUAAACAAUGUUUGUCAGGAAGCACCAUAGCAGUUAAGUUACCAGCAUGGACCUGAGAACCAGACAGACUUGUGAAUGAGUCUCUCUUUUGGCUCCAUGAGUAAAGAAGUUAAUUUUCCUACAUUUCAUCACGUCUAAGUCGGUGCUUAUAAGAGUACCUAUUACAUAGACUUGUUAAAAGGCUUCAAUCAGAUAACACAUGCAAAAUGAAUGGCAAAUAAUAAGUGUUCAAUAAAACUUAGCAAUUAACUAGAAACCUUUUACUGAUUUAUUUGAUUUUUGCCUUUGGAACAUAUAAAGACUACUUUCUAAUGACUUAGCUAAUGCAAAGACAAUAUAAAAAUCUACCUCUUCAGAGAUGCACUGUAAGAAGGACUUGACCUGUUGUUCCUGACAUUGAAGAUGGAUGGAGACACCAGGAACCAAGGAAUGAGGAUGGCUUCUGGAAGGUGGAAAAAGCAAGGAAACAUUCUCCCCCAGACCCUCCAGAAAGGAACUCAGCCCUGCUGACAUCUUUGUUUUUCUUUUCUCUUUUGAGUAGAGAUGAGGUCUCCCUAUGUUGUGGAGGCUGGUCUCGAACUCCUGGGCUCAAGUGAUCAUCCUGCUUCGACCUCCCAAAGUGCUGGGAUUACAGGUGUGAGCCACAGCACCUGGCCUCCUAUGGACAUCUUAAUUUUAGUCCAGUGAGAUUCAUAUUUGAAUUUCUGACCUACAGAACCACAAGGCAAUAACUUUGUGUUGUUUUAAGAUGCUGAAUUUUUGGUUUUUUGUUACGGCAGCCCAAGAAAAGAAAUAUAGCAUUGUAUUACAUCAAAAAAAAUGUCUACCUUUUCAGUGGAAUUUGCACUGUACAAUGUUUAGGCACAAUGCUCAGGGGUU
rnacentral:lncRNA from 1 species